GAUGAACGCUAGCGAUAGGCCUAACACAUGCAAGUCGAGGGGCAGCACAUGAAGUAGCGAUACAGAUGGUGGCGACCGGCGCACGGGUGAGUAACGCGUAUGCAAUCUACCUACAACAAGGGGAUAACCCGUUGAAAGACGGACUAAUACCCUAUAAUACAGGGGUCCCGCAUGGGAAUAUUUGUUAAAGAUUCAUCGGUUGUAGAUGAGCAUGCGUUCCAUUAGCUAGUUGGUGAGGUAACGGCCCACCAAGGCAACGAUGGAUAGGGGAACUGAGAGGUUUAUCCCCCACACUGGUACUGAGACACGGACCAGACUCCUACGGGAGGCAGCAGUGAGGAAUAUUGGUCAAUGGACGCAAGUCUGAACCAGCCACGUCGCGUGAAGGAAGACGGCCCUAUGGGUUGUAAACUUCUUUUGUAAGGGAAUAAAGUGAGUCACGGGUGGCUUAUUGCAUGUACCUUACGAAUAAGGAUCGGCUAACUCCGUG
rnacentral:rRNA from 1 species